rnacentral:lncRNA from 1 species
CAUGGCUAAGAAAAAGAAACCACCCCAUCCAACUGUAUGAUACGUUCCAAUUUCAGAGAAGUUCAAAUGUGACAAAAGUAUGAGUCUUAUUACAUGAAAGGAAGUAUUUUGGGUUUCUGUUACUCACAGCCAAGCCUAACCCUGAUUCAAGAAACAUGAGGGAACGAAAAGACGACAAGUUCUAAAUAAAGAACACGAUAAUCAUGUAGAGGGAAGAACAAGUUUCCAUAUAAAAGAAUGAGUCAUAAAAAUACUAGUGACACAUGACUCAAUUUAGGGACAUUUCUCCUCUACUUCCCAGUCUGGCUUGGAGUGACUGGGGAAUUAUGCAUGCCUAUUUGGAUGUGACCAUCAAAGUCCUCCUGGUUGACUUUGAGAAAGACAAAUGGGCAGCUGCCGUCUGAAGCAGAUGAUGACCGAGCCAAGCUUGGAGCCAGCAGGCUUUCCCUUAGCUGAGACCCCAGGGAGAUGCUCAAGGCUCUUCCUGCACCAGCCACCGCGAUCGCUUUCUAGUGCAACUUGAGCCCUGGUCUGGUGCACAGCUGAGCACUUCUGGUCCUCAAGGUGAGUCCUGACUUAACCCUGUGACAAUCCAAUAUUAAUGUGCCUGCUGUGAUUAAAACAUCAACAGCCAAUAUGACAAAUGAAAGGGAAAUCUAAAAGUGGAUGUAAGAUGAAGUAUCCAUUCUCUGUGUCAUUAAAGCAGGGUCACUUUCAUGAGGAAGGCCCACUUGCUUGUUUUUAAAUAAUGCAGUAACUUCUUAUUUUAAGUGAUCCUUUCUCCUGUGACUGCUUCUUGAAUCUACUGGGACUCCACAGACCUUCAUAGGUUUUGCUGACUCUGCAUUCUGGCUAUCAUUUAUUGACUGUCUCCUCAUGUGACAAGCGUUUGACAUUUAUUAUUAAAUAUAUCACCACCACAGGUAGGCAAUAUCAUUCCCAUUUUUAAAGAUAAUGCAAUGAAGGCUCAGAGAAGUUGAUUAACUUUCUCAUAAUAACACAGCUAAUAAAUGGGCUCUGAACUUAGGGUGGUGAAGGCUG